CACACACGCACACGCCGUCGCCACACACACCACUGACACACUCUCUCAUCUUGCUCCCGGACAAGCAGCGCCUCCGCCCUCCCCACUGCAUCCCGCCGCCGGCACAGGGACCCUCCCUUGCUGCGCGCUGCUUCGGCAGGGACUGCCCCUCUGCCUCCCCACUCCCCAUGGCUGCUGAGACGGCCGCCCUUCUCUUGCCUCUCCACCUCCGUCCGCGGAGGCGCAGACUUCCUCUCCACCAGAUCCUCGGUCGUGGACUCGACAUGAGAGCUGGAGGGUUCCCCUACGCCUACCUCCUCCUCCCGCGGGACAAGACGCAGAAUCGGAGCAAGCGCCGAGGAGCGCCGGCUAGGACGCCGUGCUCCGAUGGGUUGGGCGUGUUGCGAGCCUCACCGUGGCCAAGUACCACAUGCUCCAGAGUGGAUGGUCGAUGCCCUCCCCACCUGGCCACCUCACGCGUGACUGGUAUUUCGUCAUCCCGCCUCUGCUCGAUUCGGCUCCGUCCGAUGGCGGUGCUUGCGCCUUGACGCCGCGCCUCGCACGAUGGCCGCCAGAAGCCUAUGCCUUGGCCGCUUUAGCUAUUCAGUUUCGUGGCAUGAAAAAGAACAUAUAUAUAACAAUGCAUUCCAUGGGGCUGCAGUACUGGAAAAUUUCCUGAUCGUUGAGGCAACCAACAUGGAUUUGCAUAGCUUCUGUAACUCAAAUGAAUGCUAUGUAAAUAAUAUUUUUUUCGUCUAACUAUUAUCAAAAUGCAUGCAGGUUUAGCUCUGACAGAAUCAAGUCAAUCAACUAUGGGACAGAUUUUUGUGUACACUUCUUGUGCAUAUGUGAAGGGAAGCAAGCUUGGAUUCACUGGAUGAUGUAUACACACCAAGUGCACCUCGCUUUCAUAAUAGCAAGCAACCUCAUAUUGAGGUACGUUCUCUUCGCUUGCAGCCUUUUUAAGAGUUUGGUUUUUCCAGUUAGUCUCUUCUGAUGGUGAUGUCUCAGAAAAUCGCUUUCUCCGGUGGUUGAUAAUUUUAGCUCUAUAUGCUUGUGUUGCAAACAGCACAAGCAACUGGGCAACCAUUUGUUUCAUAAACUCAAACCAUUGAACUUAAAAACAUCACCUUCCGCAGCUGGUGUGUAUCGUAGUUGAGUGACAGCAGAUUGCCCAGUGGGCUUCUCCGCAGUGUGAAAAUCUGUCAGAAAGAAUUGAUCAUAGAUAUGAUUAUACUUGUGACUGCUACAUCAUAAAGAACAGAAAAAAUGGACAUACCAGGUGAUAUGGCCACGGGUGUCUUAGAUGGAGUGCGCUUUCAAUUUAGAAAGGAGAUGUAGCUUUGUUAUUAUCCUUUGCCUCGUGUCUUCUUUUUAAUAUCUCGUGUCUUCUUUAAUUCUUUUGGAUCUGCUUUUUGACCUGUCUCCAAGAAAAUCUUCAGGAUCUAUAAGGUCCAAGUAGGUAAGAGUUGGUGAUAUAUUUAUUUACCCUGGGUAAAUAGCAAAUCAAGUAAAUAAGAAAGUCUUGUACAUCUCAUUUUGGAAAUUUGAGAAAUGAUCAAGAGGUGAAGUCCACUUUGAUUUUUACCUUGUGCAGACUUAGGUUUGUUGUAGGUCCUUGUAGUCAUGGUUUUCUUUUAAAAAAAUCAUACAUCAUCGAACCAUGCUGAACUCACGUGUACAGAGUAUGCUGUCAUCAUCUUACAUAGCAUCUUCUAUAAAUCAUACACAAAAUUUCGGAAUCUGAACUACACAACUUUGAAACAAACUGAAAAGUUAUCAGCAUCUGCACUAAACAUUGGUAAGUUAGCUUUAGGAGAAACAUACUCAAAGAAUAUCUGAGUCGGCCGUUAUUCAUCUUGACAGUAAGGCACGAUAGUCAUUAAAUUCGUAUUACGAUUCUUCGUGCCAACACUACAACCUACAACAGUAAAUCAUAUAUAUAACUAUGUCCGAAACUUGACAUCAUACAAUGUGGAAGAAGGAAUUAAAUUGCCAAAAAUAUAUACAUACCUUACUCUUUAACUGCGUUUACUCGAUUGCUGAGUCUGAUGAAUUGCUACAUAAAUAGCCCAAAUGAUUGCCUGGCCAUAUGUAAUGUUGGUAAACAUACAAUGUAAGUACCAGAAUUCGAUCAGAAUAAAACUUCGGCAAACCAACAUUUAGUUAUUUAAACAAAAGUUCACCUUAUUGAGUACAGAAGUGGCACUUGGAUUAAGCAUUUGAAAAACAUUAAUGCAUGGUACCCAAUACCAAUUGGCAGGCCAACAUAUAAGAACAAAUUUUGCUUAAUUGUAUUUCAGAUAUAUAGAGAAGCAUGUACUGAUUUUUAUUUGCACAAAAUGAUUAGUCGUAGAUUGUCAUAGAGAUUUUGUAGUCAUUUCAUUCAAAUGGCUUAAAACUAACAUAAAAAUGUGGCAAUCCAUUGGCACAAAUAGACUUCAUACAGUACUCUCAAGUCUACAA